CAAGGGGCCUGGAUGAUCACCAGUAGCAUGGCUGUGAACUCUUUGGGGAAUGUUCUUCCAAUAAUAUUGAAGCUAGCCAUAGUCUAGAAAUUGAAACUUUUGUUAAUGAGAAGACGACUGAAAAUUAACAAGUAGCAGUACAACGAUCGAACAAGCAAUCAACAAGAGAAAUUGAAAUUGAAAGUGUAUCAAACUUUUUAAGAUCUUUAAAUGAUGAAACUUAUGAUAAGUGCAUGAGACAACUGACAUCCAUGAUGGAACAAAUAAAUAAGGCAAAUACAAGUAAACAAAAAAUGGACAAACAAGUUUAUUUUCCAUCAAAGAAGAAGAAGGAGCAGUAAAUAAAAAUAAUAAAUUGUGUAUUUUU